rnacentral:rRNA from 1 species
GACGAACGCUGGCGGCGUGCUUAACACAUGCAAGUCGAGCGAUGAAGUUCCUUCGGGAAUGGAUUAGCGGCGGACGGGUGAGUAACACGUGGGUAACCUGCCUCAUAGAGGGGAAUAGCCUUCCGAAAGGAAGAUUAAUACCGCAUAAGAUUGUAGUGCCGCAUGGCAUAGCAAUUAAAGGAGCAAUCCGCUAUGAGAUGGACCCGCGUCGCAUUAGCUAGUUGGUGAGGUAACGGCUCACCAAGGCGACGAUGCGUAGCCGACCUGAGAGGGUGAUCGGCCACAUUGGGACUGAGACACGGCCCAGACUCCUACGGGAGGCAGCAGUGGGGAAUAUUGCACAAUGGGGGAAACCCUGAUGCAGCAACGCCGCGUGAGUGAUGACGGUCUUCGGAUUGUAAAACUCUGUCUUCAGGGACGAUAAUGACGGUACCUGAGGAGGAAGCCACGGCUAACUACGUGCCAGCCGCCGCUGUAACAC